rnacentral:rRNA from 1 species
ACGAACGCUGGCGGCAUGCCUCACACAUGCAAGUCGAACGAGACCUUCGGGUCUAGUGGCGCACGGGUGCGUAACGCGUGGGAACCUGCCCUUAGGUUCGGAAUAACUCCCCGAAAGGGGUGCUAAUACCGGAUAAUGUCUUCGGACCAAAGAUUUAUCGCCUUUGGAUGGGCCCGCGUUGGAUUAGCUAGUUGGUAGGGUAAAAGCCUACCAAGGCGACGAUCCAUAGCUGGUCUGAGAGGAUGAUCAGCCACGCUGGGACUGAGACACGGCCCAGACUCCUACGGGAGGCAGCAGUGGGGAAUAUUGGACAAUGGGCGAAAGCCUGAUCCAGCAAUGCCGCGUGAGUGAUGAAGGCCUUAGGGUUGUAAAGCUCUUUUACCCGGGAUGAUAAUGACAGUACCGGGAGAAUAAGCUCCGGCUAACUCCGU